GACGAACGCUGGCGGCGUGCCUAAUACAUGCAAGUCGAACGCUUUUUCUUUCACCGGAGCUUGCUCCAUCGAAAGAAAAAGAGUGGCGAACGGGUGAGUAACACGUGGGUAACCUGCCCAUCAGAAGGGGAUAACACUUGGAAACAGGUGCUAAUACCGUAUAACACUAUUUUCCGCAUGGAAGAAAGUUGAAAGGCGCUUUUGCGUCACUGAUGGAUGGACCCGCGGUGCAUUAGCUAGUUGGUGAGGUAACGGCUCACCAAGGCAACGAUGCAUCGCCGACCUGAGAGGGGGAUCGGCCACACUGGGACUGAGACACGGCCCAGACUCCUACGGGAGGCAGCAGUAGGGAAUCUUCGGCAAUGGACGAAAGUCUGACCGAGCAACGCCGCGUGAGUGAAGAAGGUUUUCGGAUCGUAAAACUCUGUUGUUAGAGAAGAACAGGGAUGAGAGUAAAAUGUUCAUCCCUUGACGGUAUCUAACCAGAAAGCCACGGCUAACUACGUGCCAGCAGCCGCCGUAA
rnacentral:rRNA from 1 species